rnacentral:tRNA from 1 species
GCCGGCGUAGCUCAACUGGUAGAGCAUACGACUUGUAAUCGUAAGGUUGCGGGUUCGAGUCCCACCGCCGGCUCCA